CCUGAGGCGAUUGGCUGAGCGCUGUGGAACCAGUCUUCUCAGCUGCCUCUCGGAGGCUGGCGGUUCCCCUCGGCUUCUGUGGAACCCCGCUUCCAUGUCCCCAGUGGACACAGCAUCCCGGAACCUCUACGCCCAAGGCCACUAGCUUGAGGACGCCCGCUUUCACCUCAUGUUCUUCCGCCUCAACAGACACAAGAUGGGGGAGUGCGCGGGCACUUGUGAAGAUGCUUCUAUGUGCUAGAGGUGCCUUUGCGGCGCGGGGCCAGGGCCUCGGUGGGAGGCGGGCCUGUGUCUCAGGGACUCCUUCGCCAAAAGGAGCUGGCAUGUCACAGGAGGUGUGGAGGACACCCAAGACUGGGCCUCGCUCCUGGACAGCAGCCAGGGACAGCCAUGAGGAAGGACAGUCCUUGGAUUGAAAGGGGAUCCCACAGGGCCGACUGUGGCACAGGCUGCCCAAGGAUAUUUUGCUCGAGUCCAUGGCAUCUCUCAGCUGAUAAAAGCAUUUCUACAGAAGAAAGAAUGUUAUUGUCAAAUUCUAAAUCUUGGGACUCAGAUGGAGACCACCUUCUGGAGAUUAAAGACAGAGAUCACAAGUAGGCAGAGAGGCAGGCAGAGAUAGAGGAAGAGAAGCAGGCUCCCCGCUGAACAGAGAGCCUGAUGUGGGGCUCGAUCCCAGGACCGAAGGCAGAGGCUUUAACCCACUGAGCCACCCAGGCGCCCCCCAGGAAAGUAUUUUGAGGUCCACUUUCCAGUGAUGGUCAUGAGAAAGCUGCACUGCAUCAGGCACAUCUUCUGGUCCUGCACCUUAGAGUUUCUGAUUUUGCCAUCAUAGUAUCCGAAGCUCAUGACCAAGAAAGAAUUUUUCAGCUGUCUCUGGUGCUGCAAAAAGGCCUCCCUCGGUCAGGAGUCCUGGGACACUUGGCAAGGUAAUCUGACUGUGCUGGACACUUUCCACAGUAGACCAGGUUAGUUUUGUGACCUGCAGGGAUGUUCUCCUGGGUUGGUGGCCGGGACUCUGGCCUAGGCCCUUCCCUGGGCGGAGUGGAUGGCAGUGGAACUUCCUUCACGGGCCACACUUUCAGUUUCUCCAGAGAUGUGCUGGACUUUGCUGAUGUCAUCUGGGUAUAGCAAAAACCAACAGACCCUCCAAAUGCGAUCCUAACACUGAAGGCGGAAGUGACACAGUGGAAGAACUUGUCCCAGUCUUCAUCGCAGGGACUGAGGAACUCAGACUCAGCCGCAGUCUGGAAACAGAAGAACACCGUCAGGGACAGAACAGCAUCAAGUGAGGGAGAUGGACGACCACAUCAGCUUGGAGUGGCGGGAUUACAGAAUAUCUCCCAGGAGCUUCCCCAGGAAAAGCGUUUGGAUGUUCGGAGCAUAACUGCCACACCCUUCAUAGCUUGGUAGCCGCCUUGACCUCUGCUGGCAUCGAGCAAUAAAGAAACACAGUCAAAGGUCAGCGCAGAGUCCCCCUUGACUCUAUCCAGUUUUCACUUUCCCAUACUUGGGCUCACCCUGCCAGGCUGAUCUUGUAAGAACUAGAUUUACCCUUGAGUUGACAAUGUUUAUGGAGUUUCUACCCAAGGCACCACAGCAGGCGCUGGAGAAAGACGACAAGGGCUCUCUCAAGGCCUUUCGUUUACUGGAGAACAAGAACAAGUAAAUAGGCCACUGCAUCAUAGAAAACCGGGUGAUGUGUGAACUUAUGAAAAUCCCCCAGAUUGGGGCCCUCCAGUCUCUGUUGGAGCAUCAGUAGCAUCAUUGAAGGGCUUUUAGAAGCAGAGAACUUUGCCCGGAAAGCUGAAGAAUGAGUAGGUGGCAGCUACAGGGCUGGUGUGGUGAAAGGAGCUCCGGAAUAUUCCAGGGAGGGGUGAACAGGUAGGAAUCCUCAGCCUGCUCUGGAAUCCCAAAACAGGGGAUCUAUGGCCGAAAUGGAAGUGUGAAGAGAGAAGCUGUUGCAGAGGAAGCUGGAGCCAAGGAGAGCCUGACCGGCCUGGGAGCUUGAAAAGGCUCAGAAUGGGGGCGCCUGGGUAGCUCAGUCGGUUCAGCAUCUGCCUUUGGUUCAGGUCAUGAUCGCAGGGUCCUGGGAGAGGGCCCCAGGUCAAGCUGUCUGCUCCGUGGGAAGCCUGCUUCCUCCUCUCCCAUUGCUUGUGUUCUCGCUCUGUCAAAUAAAUAAAAUAAAUAAAAGCCUCAGAUGUUUGUGCCAAAAGAGCAAACACCCCUUUCCUUAUAGGGUGUAUAAACAGGCCAGAACGACAAUGUGACAAAUCUCUCUUGACCCUCACCGGAUAUUGGUUUCACAAGACAUGUUACUAAGACUCCUAAGGAAUUAUCUUAGAAUUCAUUUACAAAUUCUCCAUUGAAACAUUAGCCCCCACACCUGAUGAGGGAGCAGAAGGCUAGUUGAGGUCAAGGCAGAAGCUGACACCCUGCACUCCCCCCUCCCAUGCCUUGGUGGGACCUGUGUGACCUUCGUCCAGGAAACUUCCAACCAUCUUCAUGUUCAUUCCUUGCUAGAAGGUAAAACCACCUCACUUGACCAUGGCAAGGUCUCCAGUAUCAUGUAGGUCCUCUUUAGCAUAGGAAAGUGCUUUUGAAACCCUUCCCUUCCCUUUCCUCACCUCCCCCACCUUCCAAGUGUGUAUCAGUUGCCCCCACAACCCUGAUGCAGCUAUUUCUUCCCACAGACCCUGUCCCUGUGCUUUAAUAAAACCACUGUUUUGCACCAAA